AUUGAACGCUGGCGGCAUGCCUUACACAUGCAAGUCGAACGGCAGCACGGAGCAAUCCUGGUGGCGAGUGGCGAACGGGUGAGUAAUAUAUCGGAACGUGCCCAGUCGUGGGGAUAACGUAGCGAAAGCUACGCUAAUACCGCAUACGAUCUAUGGAUGAAANCGGGGGAUCGCAAGACCUCGCGCGAUUGGAGCGGCCGAUAUCAGAUUAGGUAGUUGGUGAGGUAAAGGCUCACCAAGCCGACGAUCUGUAGCUGGUCUGAGAGGACGACCAGCCACACUGGGACUGAGACACGGCCCAGACUCCUACGGGAGGCAGCAGUGGGGAAUUUUGGACAAUGGACGCAAGUCUGAUCCAGCCAUUCCGCGUGCAGGAUGAAGGCCCUCGGGUUGUAAACUGCUUUGUACGGAACGAAAAGGUUUGUCUUAAUACGAUGAGCUCAUGACGGUACCGUAAGAAUAAGCACCGGCUAACUACGUG
rnacentral:rRNA from 1 species